AUUAUACCUCUUCGUUUCUCAAUUUGAAAUUAAAGUUUUCUUCAAAAUAUUAAAAUUACUUUUAUUUGUCGGAACUGAGAGGAUAAUAAAAGAGAUAUAAAAAAUUGGAAAUUCCAAUUUACGUGACCAUUCACAAGAUUUGCCAAUUUAGUGUUGAAUUACCGCGAAAAUAAUCGAUGGGUUCCGGAAACCACGACGCGAUUGUCUUCAACUUGUGUCGCGUAGAAGGCCAAACUAAAUCGAGGCUUGUUAACAUCGUUACGCCCGUGGGAGUACAGUUCAUCGCGCAUUUAUCGAGUUAUACCAUCAAUGGGAGUAUUAUUAAACAAAAUUAUUCCAUGAUCGAUUGCUAUUUCCAGUAAUAACGCAACAGAUUACAAUCUUUCCAGAGAUGUAAUCUAACUUUUUCUUCUAACCGGAAAUUUUAUCACCGAUACUCAAACAGAUAGCACACACAAUUGAAAGACACACUUUUGCGAAGUUGUGACGUUAUUAAUUCUUACAUAAUGCAUUAGCUUACACAAAGGCAUUAUAUAAUUGCAAAAUUGACGAUAAAUUUUUUUGAAUUUGAUUAUAAAAAAAUGGAGAGGUGUUAAAAAACGCUCGAUCGUCAAAUUGUUUAAAUGGUUAAUUAAAAACAAUCGAAACAUUCUCGAAACUUUCAAUUAUUACGUUUAAUUAUCUCUCCCCCUUUAAUUCCCUCGAUUAUCGCCACUUUAAUCGUCGACGAUAAUAAUAAAACGAAAAAAAAAAGAAAUAAAAA